rnacentral:lncRNA from 1 species
GAAAUUCUUCACUGAUCUCUCUGGCAUGACUGGCAGACUUUUGAGAGUGAUGUUUCUUUUGGCAGUCUGUGCCUCAACUUGAGCUGUGGCUGCUGCUGCUGAGAGUAGGGCAAUGUGCUGCACAGAUGUCCAGCUCUUAGCAUGCUGCUCUGUGUCCUUUAGCACAGGAAGAACCUUUCAGGGAAUUCUGCAUGCAUCUGUAUUUCCAUAUGCAUCAUGAUCUUUAAAGAAGCCUCCUUGUCAAGGUGUUAAUUAUCUCUUCUUUAUUUAAAGGGUUCCCAAGGCAGCCAGUCCUAUGGCCAGGGCUACCAGCUUCAAGGUGGCAGUUCCUAUGGACAGGGCUACAGACCUCAAAGUGGCAGUUCCUAUGGUCAGGGUUCCCAAGGCAGCCAGUCCUAUGGCCAGGGUUACCAGUCUCAAGGUGGCAGUUCCUAUGGACAGGGCGGAUCUGUUUCUUAUGGUGGCAGCAGUGGUUGUGGACAAGGUGUCUCCUAUGAUAGCAAUCCCUGUCACCAGGUAAAUGGUCUUUCUCCUCUUAUUUUAGGAUGCAUUAGAAAUUAGUUUUGCCACUAAACCAAUUCGUUCCAAAUUCAGAUUCAUAUUGCACAAAUCCAUGUAAUCUUAUACAUUUUGAGAUUAGAAUUCACUAUCUUCCUAUUCACAGGAGCGUCACGGGGGCUUUGAAGUCUUUUUUGCCACUUUUUCCUAGCAUUACAUUUUGAAAUAUUUAAUUCUAUAGAACAUUAAGGCCAGAUUCUGGAAAGAAGAAGUUUGCUGCAGAGUUGUUCCACUGGCAUGACUUAAAUCAAGGCUGGAGCUCACCAGCUUCUCUCUUCCUGUCAAAAUCCAGAAAAUAUUUUAGAACCGCCAUUCAAGGUCCCAGAAACAAACUGAGUUUGUG